rnacentral:rRNA from 1 species
GAAGGAGUGAAUAUUAUUGGUUAAAUUGCAGUUAAUUUUUAACUUUCUUAAUAAGAAAAUUUUUAGGUGAAAUUUAUAAUUUUUGUUUAAAGAUAAUAUAAGAUGAAGCUGUGAAGUCUUUAAUAAAAACAAGGAUUAGAUACCCUAUUAUUUUGGAUGUAAAUAUUAACCUGGGUAGUAUUAGUUAGGUUCUUGAAACCCAGAGGAUUUGGCGGUACUUUAGUCUUUUCAGAGGAACCUGUUCCGUUAUCGAUAUUCCACGAGGUGUAAUUACUUGCUUUUAUUAAUUUGUAUACCUCCGUCAUAAGAGUAUCCUUUUAGGGGUUUAAUAUUCUUAUUUUACUAAAUUUAAGAUGUCAGGUCAAGGUGCAAUUUAUAAGUAAGAGGAGAUGGGUUACAAUAAAUUUAUUUAUAUGAAUUGGGAUGUUUAAUUUCUCAGAAGGGGAUUUGAUAGUAAUUUUGGUAACUAAUUGAUUUGAUUUAAGCUCUAAAGUAUGCACACAUCGCCCGUCGCUCUCAUUAUUUAAAAUGAGAUAAGUCGUAACAUAGUAGACGUAUCGGAAGGUGUGUCUAGUAAGUA